rnacentral:lncRNA from 1 species
UAGUAUGUAAACAAGGUAUUAUAUCCCAACAUCUAGAUUGUCUCCCUUUGAAAGAAAUGAAAACUUUUCUGCAGUUUCUAGUAAUUGCCUGUUGCAGAUUGUUUUGCAAACUUCAGUCAGUCAACUGAUGUAAAAUUGGGUUUAUUCCAUUGUAAUGAAAUUCCAGUGUAUGAUAGUAAUGUAUUUUAUCCUGUAACUUAAAACUAAUUUCCAGAUUUUGACAAUUGUUUUGUUUCAAAAUUGAUGAAUUCCUCUGGAAAAAAAUGUUCAACCAGGGUCCAUUUUAAUCUUUGUGAUACGUGUCAAAAUCAGCAACUGUCUCAUGAUGAAUUACAGUAA